GACCUCGUAGCUAAGCUGGUAGAGCGCGCACUGUAAAAACGCAUCAGCGGUGUCCAUACGUGGGUUCGAAUCCCACUGAAGCUA
rnacentral:tRNA from 1 species